rnacentral:tmRNA from 1 species
AUGCUAUCCUUCCUUUCGGUUACAUCAGGUUAAAAUAAAAGAUCUGGAUAAACAUGUAGAUCAUUCUGUGGAUAGCUAGCGGACGCGGGUUCGAUUCCCGCCGCCUCCACCA